rnacentral:SRP_RNA from 1 species
GCUGGGCGUGGUGGCAGGCGCCUGUAGUCCCAGUUACUGGGGAGGCUGAGGCAGGAGAAUGGCGUGAACCCAGGAGGUGGAGCUUGCAGUGAGCCAAGAUUGCACCACUGCACUUCAGCCUGGGCUGGAGAAGGAGUAAGACUCCUUCUCAGGAAAAAAAAAAAAAAAAGACAGGAUCUUGCUUUGUUGCCCAGGCUGGAGUGCAGUGGUGCAAUCUGGGUUCACUGCAACCUCUGCCUCCCAGGUACAAGCGAUUCUCGUGCCUCAG